AAAAUAGACAAAUAACAAAUUAACUUUUCCCAACAGUCAAAAUUUUCCUUUCAUUUCUCACCAUCCAAACACCAGACAGAAUGGGAAAUUCCGGCAGCAACAACCGUCGCCACCACUAUUACAACAACAACCACCACCACCACCAGAAUCACCCCCACCCGCAAUCUGAGAUAACCACAAGUCAAUACGCAUUUGCUGCACCAUCGUCACAAUAUCCAAACCCUAAUUUACCUUACAAUAAUAAUUACCCAAAUUACCCUCCACCACCACCUCCUCCUCCACCUGGAUACUACACUCAGCAGCCUGUGCCGUUUUACCAUAAUAAUUACCAUGGUUAUCCUUUCGGUGUAGCUCCGCCAAUGAUUUCAGCGCCGGUAGAGCAUCAAAAAGCUAUUACUAUAAAGAAUGACGUUAAUGUAAGAAAAGAUAGUAUUAGGGUUGAGGAAGAUGAUCAGAUUCCUGGCAAAUUUCUUGUUUCUUUCAUUUUUGAUGCUACUGCUCCUGGAAGCAUUACGGUUGCAUUUUUUGCGAAAGAAGGCGAAGAUUGUAACCUGAUAGCAACAAAAGAAAAUGUACUUCAGCCCGUAACUGUAUCAUUUGAGCAAGGUAUUGGACAGAAGUUCAGACAACCUUCUGGUAUGGGAAUUGAUUUUUCGAUGUUUGACGGGGUAGAGUUAAUGGAGGAAAAUGCACAUGGAGUGUUUCCUCUCAUGAUGAAAGCUAAUGCACACACAUCGAAUAAUGAUGGGUCAGAAGCAAAUGCAACUGGAAAUUCUCAAAUUACAUUAGCUGUGUUUGAUAAAAAAGAGGAAGAUAAGUACUUGGUUAGAGUAAUGAAACAGAUUCUGUGGGUGAAUGGUACAAGAUAUGAGCUGCAGGAAAUUUACGGAAUUGGGAACUCUGUCGAUGUUGAAUCUGAUGGCAAUGAUUCCGGAAAAGAAUGCGUCAUCUGCUUAACGGAACCACGAGACACUGCUGUCCUCCCGUGCAGACAUAUGUGUAUGUGCAGCACAUGUGCGAAGGUUUUGCGAUUCCAAACAGCUCGAUGCCCCAUAUGCAGGCAACCAGUUGACCGCCUCCUAGAAAUUAAGGUGAAGGACGAGGUGGAAGAUUGAGACUUGUUAUGUUGCGAAAGAAUUCUCAUUGUGAACUUCAUGAUUUAUGUCUUACAUAGCUUCACAUGACAAAAAGAAGACAUGAUGAUUAUCUUGGUGGCAUUGUUUUAUGCAAAUUUGAUACAGACGUGUUUGCAUAGUGUAAUAAGCAGCAAACACUAUAAAAAAAUUAGGUUUGCCAGUGAGCAAUAUGCGAACGAUGUCUAAAGUGGUCGCAGUAGAAGUAUCCAUAAGGGCCAUAACUAUUUCCAGUCUUCAAAUCAGAUUGAGUAUUAACUAAUCCCGUCAACUAUAAUUUCCAAUCAUACAAUAUAAGCUGGAGUGCAUAGGUGCAUGCAGGAAGCAAAUGGCUUAUAUAAUAAUAUUAACCUCAGCCAGCGCAAUUUUCAGGAGCAUUCGAGGAUUUUUUUUAUGGCAGAGAAUUUUCAUCUCAUUAAGAAAAAAAAUUCUCCCAACUAUUUUUCCAGGCUGUUUCACUUCUAAUGAAAGCCAUAGGAUGGCAAGGUGGAAGCAUAGCCCUUAAGACACUAAAAUGAGUUGUAGCUGCCGAAUAUCACGCACGGGAUGCACUAGUGACACAAGGACUUAAGUUGUUCCACUUAAAAUGAAAUACAUAGGAUGACAAGGUGGAAGCAUACUAGCCUUGAGACAUUAAAAUGGGUUGUAGUUGCUGAAUGCACGCACAGGAUGCACUAGUUGCACAAGGACUCAAGGCAUUACAGGAAUUUUUGAGAUUGAAUCAUAGAGAUGGAAAGUCUGAACUCAAAGCUGUACCUGCAAAAUACAUAAUGAAGGAAAACGAAAGGCUGAGGAAAAAAACACAGAUUCUGAACCAGGAAAAUCAAGCAUUCUACUUUGGGGUUAGCUGCAUGCACAAUGAGUUUUUGGGAUUUUUAUAAGGUCGACAGGAGCAAAUCUUGGCGAGUGCAGGCCAUGGCAAAACUUGACGAUAGUCUCUUCCAGCUCAAUGUCGAGGUCUAAGGGAUGGCGAACUCUCAAGGGAGUCUGUAUUUCCUGGUUGUGUUUUCACCUAUCAUCCAUUUGUUAUGAGGGUGCAGUGGCCAUGGCACGAGCUGCUCUGAAGCUCUAGAUUAGGAUUUUACAGAGGUGGGGAAAUCUGUGAGUUUUCGCGUACCUGAGAGUUAUGUAGUUUGACACAGUUACUUGCUAGCUUUCAUUGAUACAUAACAAGCAUUAAAAGGCUGCUAUAGUAAUUGAAUUGUUCUAUUAUUGGUUUAA